GACGAACGCUGGCGGCGUGCUUAACACAUGCAAGUCGUACGGUAAGGCCCUUUCGGGGGUACACGAGUGGCGAACGGGUGAGUAACACGUGCGUAACCUUCCCACAACUUUGGGAUAACGCUAGGAAACUGGUGCUAAUACUGGAUAUGUGCUCCUUCUGCAUGGUGGGGGUUGGAAAGCUCCGGCGGUUGUUGAUGGACUCGCGGCCUAUCAGCUUGUUGGUGGGGUAGUGGCCUACCAAGGCGGCGGCGGGUAGCCGGCCUGAGAGGGUGACCGGCCAUAUUGGGACUGAGAUAAGGCCCAGACUCCGACGGGAGGCAGCAGGGGGGAAGAUUGAACAAGGGGCGCAAGCCGGAUGCAGCAACGCCGCGGGCGGGAUGACGGCCUUAGGGUUGUAAACCGCAUUCAGCAGGGACGAAGCUUUUUGUGACGGUACCUGCAGAAGAAGCACCGGCUAACUACGUG
rnacentral:rRNA from 1 species